GACGAACGCUGGCGGCGUGCCUAAUACAUGCAAGUCGAACGCUUCUUUCCUCCCGAGUGCUUGCACUCAAUUGGAAAGAGGAGUGGCGGACGGGUGAGUAACACGUGGGUAACCUACCCAUCAGAGGGGGAUAACACUUGGAAACAGGUGCUAAUACCGCAUAACAGUUUAUGCCGCAUGGCAUAAGAGUGAAAGGCGCUUUCGGGUGUCGCUGAUGGAUGGACCCGCGGUGCAUUAGCUAGUUGGUGAGGUAACGGCUCACCAAGGCCACGAUGCAUAGCCGACCUGAGAGGGUGAUCGGCCACACUGGGACUGAGACACGGCCCAGACUCCUACGGGAGGCAGCAGUAGGGAAUCUUCGGCAAUGGACGAAAGUCUGACCGAGCAACGCCGCGUGAGUGAAGAAGGUGUUCGGAUCGUAAAACUCUGUUGUUAGAGAAGAACAAGGACGUUAGUAACUGAACGUCCCCUGACGGUAUCUAACCAGAAAGCCACGGCUAACUACGUG
rnacentral:rRNA from 1 species